CAAUAGCGUAUAUUAAAGCUGUUGCGGUUAAAAAGCUCGUAGUUGGAUUUCUGUCAAGGACAACUGGUCCGCCCUCCGGGUGAGCACAUAGUUUGGUCUUGGCAUCUUGCUGGAAACUGUUGCUGCACUUGGCUGUGUGGCGCAGCGUCCAGCACUUUCACUUUGAGGAAAUUGGAGUGUUUCAAGCAGGCACAUGCCUUUGGACACAGUAGCAUGGAAUAAUUAGAUUGGGCUUUUGUUCCAAUUUGUCGGUUUCUGGAGCUGAGGUGAGAAUUAAUGGGGAUUGUUGGGGGCAUCCGAAUUUAGCCGUCAGAGGUGAAAUUCUUGGAUCUGCUAAAGACGGACAACUGCGAAAGCGUUUGCCCAGGAUGUUUUCAUUGA
rnacentral:rRNA from 1 species